AAGAGACUUCCUAAAAGCACAUUCCAGAGCCCACCACCACAUUUAUCUUGUCAUUGGGUAUGUUCAUGAGCUUCCUGAAACCUAAACAUCACUCCUGAUUUACGGAUUUCCUUGCUUUCUCCUUCUCCCUCUCACGCCUCUCUUAGGUGCUCUGACUUUUGACCUUGCUACUGACAGAUGCUGCAGCUCACACCCAGCUCCGGCCAUCCUCCGUGGAACUCAGGUGGAUUCUUUACUGGCUGAGCUACCAGGGAAGCCCAUGAGAGGGUCCUGAGAGCAAGCAUUAAAGAAAUCUCUCAGUGUAGAAGUCCCCCAGGGAAGAGGAAAGAU
rnacentral:lncRNA from 1 species